rnacentral:rRNA from 1 species
CGGAUCGGAGUCUGNAACCCGACUCCGUGAAGCUGGAUUCGCUAGUAAUCGCGCAUCAGCCAUGGCGCGGUGAAUACGUUCCCGGGCCCUUGUACACACCGCCCGUCAAGCCAUGGAAGCCGGGGGCGCUUGAAGUGCGUUGCCGCAAGGCGCGCCCUAGAGCGAAACCGGUGACUGGGGCUAAGUCGUAACAAGGUAAC